rnacentral:lncRNA from 1 species
GGGGCAAUGACGUCACCGGACGCGCAGGGGGCGGGGCCAAACGUCUCUAUUGCAACGGUGCAGGUCGGGGGGUCCAUGGGGCGCCUCUGCCGGUGCCGUUGUCGGGGUCGAAGCCGGGGUCAAGGUCGGGGUCAAGGUCGGGGACACCGGCGCCACCGCAGCUGCCAGAAGACGUGUUCUUGUUCCCCCAAGCACGCCUGCCCGUCGAUGACGUCACCGAUGACGUCACCGCCGCUCGCCGUGACCACCACCUACAUCAUCUGGCCCCCCCCGGCCAUCACCACCUUGGGGGGGCCCCGCGUGGCCGUAGUUGGGGCCCCCGAGCCCCCAAAAUGCUGCUUUUAGCCCCAAAACGCUGCUUUUAGCCCCAAAACGGCCAUUUUGGGGCUGUUU